rnacentral:misc_RNA from 1 species
AAGUCGUAACAAGGUUUCCGUAGGUGAACCUGCGGAAGGAUCAUUAACACGUAUCCAAACGUUAAACCCCUCUGUGAACCUUCACCUGUACUCGUACGUCCGUUAGAAAAAGCAGCAAUCCCUGGUAAAUCAUCGCCGAACAGUUUUCGAUUCAGGGAUGUCUGCAAGGAGCGUGCAUGUUGUGCGAGCAAGUGGCCUGGCAUCCCCAAGCAGUUAGUGUCUGAAAGUGUCAUUAACUGUGUAAGGAUGACGCAGUCACGAUCGUUGGAGGCCCACACGGCCGACGACCGGGUCACUGGGCGCAAGCCCCCCUAUAACAAACGCUGCUAAUCGCGGCCGCGAUAAUACGCAGUCGACCAAAAACCGAACAACUGUUAACAAUGGAUAUCUUGGUUCUC